UACUCCUAGGGAGGCAGCAGUCGAGAAUCUUCCGCAAUGGGGGCAACCCUGACGGAGCGACGCCGCGUGGAGGAAGAAGGCCUUCGGGUUGUAAACUCCUGUCACGACUUACGAAAAUGCAGCGUGUAACAUCGCUGCACUGACAAAGGGUCGGAAGGAAGCCACAGCUAACUUCGUGCCAGCAGCCGCGGUAA
rnacentral:rRNA from 1 species